rnacentral:rRNA from 1 species
AAUAGAUACCCAGGUAGUCCAUGCCGUAAACGUUGGGAACUAGAUGUAGGGCCUGUUCCACGGGUUCUGUGUCGUAGCUAACGCAUUAAGUUCCCCGCCUGGGGAGUACGGCCGCAAGGCUAAAACUCAAAGGAAUUGACGGGGGCCCGCACAAGCGGCGGAGCAUGCGGAUUAAUUCGAUGCAACGCGAAGAACCUUACCAAGGCUUGACAGUAUAGAAGAACACUGCAGAGAUGCAGGACUCUUUGGACACUUCUAUACAGGUGGUGCAUGGUUGUCGUCAGCUCGUGUCGUGAGAUGUUCGGUUAAGUCCGGCAACGAGCGCAGCCCUCGUCCUAUGUUGCCAGCACGUGAUGGUGGGAACUCAUGGGAUACUGCCGUGGUCAACACGGAGGAAGGUGGGGAUGACGUCAAAUCAUCAUGCCCCUUAUGUCUUGGGCUUCACGCAUGCUACAAUGGCCGGUACAAAGGGCUGCGAUACCGUAAGGUGGAGCGAAUCCCAAAAGGCCGGUCUCAGUUCGGAGUU